rnacentral:rRNA from 1 species
AGAAGACAUCGUGUCUUCGAGUCGUUGAUUUCACACUGCCGAGAAAAGCCUCUAGAUAGAAAAUAGGUGCCCGUACCGCAAACCGACACAGGUAGUCAAGAUGAGAAUUCUAAGGUGAGCGAGCGAACUCUCGUUAAGGAACUCGGCAAAAUGACCCCGUAACUUCGGGAGAAGGGGUGCUCUUUAGGGUUAACGCCCAGAAGAGCCGCAGUGAAUAGGCCCAAGCGACUGUUUAUCAAAAACACAGGUCUCUGCUAAACCGUAAGGUGAUGUAUAGGGGCUGACGCCUGCCCGGUGCUGGAAGGUUAAGAGGAGUGGUUAGCUUCUGCGAAGCUACGAAUCGAAGCCCCAGUAAACGGCGGCCGUAACUAUAACGGUCCUAAGGUAGCGAAAUUCCUUGUCGGGUAAGUUCCGACCCGCACGAAAGGCGUAACGAUUUGGGCACUGUCUCAACGAGAGACUCGGUGAAAUCAUAGUACCUGUGAAGAUGCAGGUUACCCGCGACAGGACGGAAAGACCCCGUGGAGCUUUACUGUAGCCUGAUAUUGAAAUUCGGCACAGCUUGUACAGGAUAGGUAGGAGCCUUUGAAACGUGAGCGCUAGCUUACGUGGAGGCGCUGGUGGGAUACUACCCUAGCUGUGUUGGCUUUCUAACCCGCACCACUUAUCGUGGUGGGAGACAGUGUCAGGCGGGCAGUUUGACUGGGGCGGUCGCCUCCUAAAAGGUAACGGAGGCGCUCAAAGGUUCCCUCAGAAUGGUUGGAAAUCAUUCAUAGAGUGUAAAGGCAUAAGGGAGCUUGACUGCGAGACCUACAAGUCGAG